rnacentral:rRNA from 1 species
GAUGAACGCUGGCGGCGUGCUUAACACAUGCAAGUCGAACGGUGAAGGCGGAGCUUGCUCUGCUGGAUCAGUGGCGAACGGGUGAGUAACACGUGAGCAAUCUGCCCCUGACUCUGGGAUAAGCGCUGGAAACGGCGUCUAAUACUGGAUACGAGCUUCCACCGCAUGGUGAGUUGUUGGAAAGAUUUUUCGGUCAGGGAUGAGCUCGCGGCCUAUCAGCUUGUUGGUGAGGUAAUGGCUCACCAAGGCGUCGACGGGUAGCCGGCCUGAGAGGGUGACCGGCCACACUGGGACUGAGACACGGCCCAGACUCCUACGGGAGGCAGCAGUGGGGAAUAUUGCACAAUGGGCGCAAGCCUGAUGCAGCAACGCCGCGUGAGGGACGACGGGCCCUUCGGGUUGUAAACCGUACUUUUACGUCCUAGGGAAGGAAGGACGAAAGGUACGUACGGUAACCCGUUGACGACGAAAAAAGACCGGACCGGGACCGUAACGUAACCGUGGCCAACGGCAACGACCGACC